rnacentral:rRNA from 1 species
UACGAAGGGGGCUAGCGUUGCUCGGAAUCACUGGGCGUAAAGGGUGCGUAGGCGGGUCUUUAAGUCAGGGGUGAAAUCCUGGAGCUCAACUCCAGAACUGCCUUUGAUACUGAGGAUCUUGAGUACGGGAGAGGUGAGUGGAACUGCGAGUGUAGAGGUGAAAUUCGUAGAUAUUCGCAAGAACACCAGUGGCGAAGGCGGCUCACUGGCCCGCAACUGACGCUGAGGCACGAAAGCGUGGGGAGCAAACAGG